AGUAAUGUCUGGGAAACUGCCUGAUGGAGGGGGAUAACUACUGGAAACGGUAGCUAAUACCGCAUAAUGUCGCAAGACCAGAGAGGAGGACCUUCGGGCCUCUUGCCAUCAGAUGUGCCCAGAUGGGAUUAGCUAGUAGGUGGGGUAACGGCUCACCUAGGCGACGAUCCCUAGCUGGUCUGAGAGGAUGACCAGCCACACUGGAACUGAGACACGGUCCAG
rnacentral:rRNA from 1 species